AACGAACGCUGGCGGCAGGCCUAACACAUGCAAGUCGAGCGCCCCGCAAGGGGAGCGGCGGACGGGUGAGUAACGCGUGGGAACGUGCCCUCUUCUACGGAAUAGCCUCGGGAAACUGGGAGUAAUACCGUAUACGCCCUUAGGGGGAAAGAUUUAUCGGAGGAGGAUCGGCCCGCGUUGGAUUAGGUAGUUGGUGGGGUAAUGGCCUACCAAGCCGACGAUCCAUAGCUGGUUUGAGAGGAUGAUCAGCCACACUGGGACUGAGACACGGCCCAGACCCCUACGGGAGGCAGCAGUGGGGAAUCUUAGACAAUGGGCGCAAGCCUGAUCUAGCCAUGCCGCGUGAGCGAUGAAGGCCUUAGGGUUGUAAAGCUCUUUCAGGGGGGAAGGAUAAUGACUGUACCCCCACGAAGAAGCCCCGGCUAACUCCGUG
rnacentral:rRNA from 1 species